UCCAGACUCCUACGGGAGGCAGCAGUGGGGGAUAUUGCACAAUGGGGGAAACCCUGAUGCAGCGACGCCGCGUGGGUGAAGAAGCGCCUCGGCGCGUAAAGCCCUGUCAGCAGGGAAGAAAAUGACGGUACCUGAAGAAGAAGCCCCGGCUAACUACGUGCCAGCAGCCGCGGUAAUACGUAGGGGGCAAGCGUUGUCCGGAUUUACUGGGUGUAAAGGGUGCGUAGGCGGCCCUGCAAGUCAGAAGUGAAAUCCAUGGGCUUAACCCGUGAACUGCUUUUGAAACUGCAGGACUUGAGUGGAGUAGAGGUAGGCGGAAUUCCUAGUGUAGCGGUGAGAUGCGUAGAUAUUAGGAGGAACACCAGUGGCGAAGGCGGCCUACUGGACGGUGACUGACGCUGAGGCUCGAAAGCGUGGGGAGCAAACAGGAUUAGAUCCCCGAGUA
rnacentral:rRNA from 1 species